AGCAGAGUGGCUUAGUGGAAAGAGCAUGGGCUUGGGAGUCGGAGGUCGUGGGUUCCAAUCCCGCCUCUGCCA
rnacentral:tRNA from 1 species